rfam:Yokenella regensburgei ATCC 43003 genomic scaffold Scfld157, whole genome shotgun sequence.
UAUGGCGGGUGCCGGAGUGAGAGCCGGAAAUUUACCGCUGUUCCUGGAGGCUGGGGUGAAGGAAGUGCACAGCUCUGCGGGUCAGUGGGUGCCUUCGGUCAUGCAGUAUCGUAACCCAGGGCUGUCAAUGUCGACCGACGCUGACGCUGAUGAAUACUCCCGAUACGCCGUGAACGGCGAGUCGGUGGCGGAGAUGAAGGCGAUCGUUGCCGGUUAUCCCCGCUGAUACCAGUUUUACCGCGCAUCAUGUCGCCCAAUAUGAUGCUUGUUUGUACCAGGCCCCUGCAAUUUCAACAGGGGCCUUUUUUU